rnacentral:misc_RNA from 1 species
UGCAUUCACUUGAUCAGCAAACCUGAAAAAGAGACAAGACUCCAAACUUAGACAAUAUCAAUAGCUUAAUUCCCAGCUCACCAUACUAAAAUAAACAGAGGCAUAUCAAAACAAUAUAAUAGCAUCUGCUAUCACAAUCAUUGAAUCUAGAACAAUUUCAUCUACCUUUACAUCCAAAACAAAAGCUUAGAAGGGAAAGGGAACAAAG